rnacentral:rRNA from 1 species
GACGAACGCUGGCGGCGUGCUUAACACAUGCAAGUCGAACGGAAAGGCCCUGCUUUUGUGGGGUGCUCGAGUGGCGAACGGGUGAGUAACACGUGAGUAACCUGCCCUUGACUUUGGGAUAACUUCAGGAAACUGGGGCUCAUACCGGAUAGGAGCUCCUGCUGCAUGGUGGGGGUUGGAAAGUUUCGGCGGUUGGGGAUGGACUCGCGGCUUAUCAGCUUGUUGGUGAGGUAGUGGCUUACCAAGGCUUUGACGGGUAGCCGGCCUGAGAGGGUGACCGGGCACAUGGGGACUGAGAUACGGCCCAGACUCCUACGGGAGGCAGCAGGGGGGAAUAUUGCACAGUGGGCGGAAGCCUGAGGCAGCAACGCCGCGUGCGGGAUGACGUCCUUCGGGGUGUAAACCGCUUUCGCCUGUGACGAAGCGUGAGUGACGGUAAUGGGUAAAGAAGCACCGGCUAACUACGUG